rnacentral:rRNA from 1 species
GAUGAACGCUGGCGGCGGGCCUAACACAUGCAAGUCGAGCGGAUGAAGGGAGCUUGCGCCUGGCUUAAGCGGCGGGCGGGCGAGUAAUGCAUAGGAGUCUGACUGGCCGUGGGGGAUGACGUCCGGAAACGAGAGCUGAUACAGCAUACGACCUGAGGGAGAACGGGGGGGAUCUUUGGACAUAACGCGAUCUGAUGAGCCUAGGUCGGAUUAGCUAGUUGGUGGGGUAAAGGCCUACCAAGGCGACGAUCCGUAACUGGCCUGAGAGGGUGAUCAGUCACACUGGAACUGAGACACGGUCCAGACUCCUACGGGAGGCAGCAGUGGGGAAUCUUGGACAAUGGGCGAAAGCCUGACCCAGCCAUGCCGCGUGUGUGAAGAAGGUCUUCGGAUCGUAAAGCACUUUAAGUUGGGAGGAACGGCAGUAAGUUAAUACCUUGCUGUUUUGACGUUACCAACAGAAUAAGCACCGGCUAACUACGUG